AGAACGAACGCUGGCGGCAUGCCUAAUACAUGCAAGUCGAACGAAGGCUUCGGCCUUAGUGGCGCACGGGUGCGUAACGCGUGGGAAUCUGCCCCUUGGUUCGGAAUAACAGUUGGAAACGACUGCUAAUACCGGAUGAUGACGAAAGUCCAAAGAUUUAUCGCCAAGGGAUGAGCCCGCGUAGGAUUAGCUAGUUGGUGAGGUAAAGGCUCACCAAGGCGACGAUCCUUAGCUGGUCUGAGAGGAUGAUCAGCCACACUGGGACUGAGACACGGCCCAGACUCCUACGGGAGGCAGCAGUAGGGAAUAUUGGACAAUGGGCGAAAGCCUGAUCCAGCAAUGCGCGUGAGUGAUGAAGGCCUUAGGUUGUAAAGCUCUUUUACCCGAGAUGAUAAUGACAGUAUCGGGAGAAUAAGCCCCGGACUAACUCCGUGCCAGCACGCCGC
rnacentral:rRNA from 1 species